CCUACGUGAGGCAGCAGUGGGGGAUAUUGCACAAUGGGGGAAACCCUGAUGCAGCGACGCCGCGUGGGCGAAGAAGUAUUUCGGUAUGUAAAGCUCUAUCAGCCGGGAAGAAAAUGACGGUACCUGAGUAAGAAGCCCCGGCUAACUACGUGCCAGCAGCCGCGGUAAUACGUAGGGGGCAAGCGUUAUCCGGAUUUACUGGGUGUAAAGGGAGCGUAGACGGCAGUGCAAGUCUGGAGGGAAAGGCGGGGGCUCAACCCCCGAACUGCUCUGGAAACUGUACUGCUGGAGUGCAGGAGAGGUAAGUGGAAUGCCUGGUGUAGCGGUGAAAUGCGUAGAUAUUAGGAGGAACACCAGUGGCGAAGGCGGCUUACUGGACUGUAACUGACGUUGAGGCUCGAAAGCGUGGGGAGCAAACAGGAUUAGAUACCCUUGUAGUC
rnacentral:rRNA from 1 species